UCAAACAUUCCCUUGUAGGGAACGGGAAGCACUGAGAACUUUGGACUCGGUGAGUUUGAGUUUCUGCGGUGUUGCUUGGUGUGCCACCUCCACAGCAUGAGCGAAGCAGAGGAUGGUGAGAGGGUUAUUCAGGUGACUCCUGAUGGUCUGAGCAAGUGGAAGGGGGCAGAGAUGAGAUGCAAAGAGACCUACAGGCUAUGUCCCAGGGAAACAAAAAGAAGCGGGAGAUAGUGAGAAUUGAAAGUGUCCUGCAAAGAAGGAAAAUGAACAUGAAGCAGUCAGCUUACUAAAGUACUUUGGGAAGCUCCACUUUACCAUUUUGUGACCAUGUUAUCACAGAUGUAAGACUUCUCCAAAAAAACAGAUGUGCCAAACCAGCCCGAGGAUGCUGAGCUGAAUGGAAAGUACACACUGAUCAAAUAUUUACUAUUGCUACUGGGGAGGGAGCUGAGAGGUGGGGUUUCCAUGACAUUUUGUUCCUGUAAAGCCAAGAACUGUUCUGUAAACUUUGAAUGUCAUUUGUAAUUGUUCAUCUCACAUGAGAAGCAAGUGGAGAGAUUCAGAAAGGUUGAGAUUACUUAUUCUGAGGGAAUCAAGCAUAAAUAAUACUUAUUAGUGACUGUCAUUAACAAAUCAAUCCUCAUGAUGAUUGCAAGAAGUAACUGAUCAUAACAAAAGAAUUUACAGCAUAAGAGCAGGGUGACAUGGAGACUCAGUGUAAGGUUAUCUUGCUCUGUUUUGUUAUAAUAGGUGCAUGUGCUUAGCUGAAAGUUUAUUUUAAAAAGAAUAUUCAUAUUCCAAAAAUCUGCUAAGAAUAUUAGUCUGUAAAUCCUAGGUGUUUCCAUAUCAUCCAUUAGCCAGAGCUCCCAGAACACUCUAUAAUUAUCAGUGCAUUAAAUAGUUUUUACUACCUCCAGCCUGCAUCAGGUUGUUUCUCAUCAUCCCUUUCGAAAGCUGCUGUUAGAGACGUAGCCUGAGGUAUAGGCUGGUUGGACCUGCAUAAAGAGCAAACAGGGACAAGAAAUAUGAAAUAUAUGCCACGUUCAAGGCAACAGUGGUGAGAUUC
rnacentral:lncRNA from 1 species